rfam:Peptoniphilus lacrimalis DNF00528 contig123, whole genome shotgun sequence.
AUAAACUUUAUAAAAAGAAGAGUAGUUGGAGGGAGUUUUUACAGAGAGCUUCGUUUGGUGAAAGAAGCAAAAUGAACUUUGAUGAACAUGGUCUUUUUCUAGGAUUUAUCAAUAUGAGAUAUUUACGGGAGCUCCCGUUACAGAGCUAGAGUAUGUUGGUACUUGAGAGUGGCAUUUAUGCAAAAUAGGUGGUAACGCGGAAAUAUUUCGUCCUUGUU